rnacentral:rRNA from 1 species
AAUGGGGGGAACCCUGGCCGAGCAACGCCGCGUGAGUGAAGAAGGUUUUCGGAUCGUAAAGCUCUGUUGUUAAGGAAGAACGAGUGUGAGAAUGGAAAGUUCAUACUGUGACGGUACUUAACCAGAAAGGGACGGCUAACUACGUGCCAGCAGCCGCGGUAAUACGUAGGUCCCGAGCGUUGUCCGGAUUUAUUGGGCGUAAAGCGAGCGCAGGCGGUUAGAAAAGUCUGAAGUGAAAGGCAGUGGCUCAACCAUUGUAGGCUUUGGAAACUGUUUAACUCGAGUGCAGAAGGGGAGAGUGGAAUUCCAUGUGUAGCGGUGAAAUGCGUAGAUAUAUGGAGGAACACCGGUGGCGAAAGCGGCUCUCUGGUCCGUAACUGUCGCUGAGGCUCGAAAGCGUGGGGAGCGAACAGGAUUAGAUACCCUGGUAGUCCACGCCGUAAACGAUGAGUGCUAGGUGUUAGGUCCUUUCCGGGACUUAGUGCCGCAGCUAACGCAUUAAGCACUCCGCCUGGGGAGUACGACCGCAAGGUUGAAACUCAAAGGAAUUGACGGGGGCCCGCACAAGCGGUGGAGCAUGUGGUUUAAUUCGAAGCAACGCGAAGAACCUUACCAGGUCUUGACAUCCCGAUGCUAUUUCUAGAGAUAGGAAGUUUCUUCGGAACAUCGGUGACAGGGUGGUGCAUGGGUUGUCGUCAGCUCGUGUCGUGAGAUGUUGGGGUUAAGU